ACACUCCUGCGGGAGGCAGCAGUGGGGAAUAUUGGACAAUGGGCGCAAGCCUGAUCCAGCCAUGCCGCGUGAGUGAUGAAGGCCCUAGGGUUGUAAAGCUCUUUCACCGGUGAAGAUAAUGACGGUAACCGGAGAAGAAGCCCCGGCUAACUUCGUGCCAGCAGCCGCGGUAAUACGAAGGGGGCUAGCGUUGUUCGGAUUUACUGGGCGUAAAGCGCACGUAGGCGGACUAUUAAGUCAGGGGUGAAAUCCCGGGGCUCAACCCCGGAACUGCCUUUGAUACUGGUAGUCUUGAGUUCGAGAGAGGUGAGUGGAAUUCCGAGUGUAGAGGUGAAAUUCGUAGAUAUUCGAAGGAACACCAGUGGCGAAGGCGGCUCACUGGCUCGAUACUGACGCUGAGGUGCGAAAGCGUGGGGAGCAAACAGGAUUAGAAACCCUUGUAGUCCC
rnacentral:rRNA from 1 species